GGUGAACCUGCGGAAGGAUCAUUAUUGAAAAAAUGAGUGCACUUAAUUGUGACUCAAAAUUCAAAAUUUUAAAAAACCCUUACCUUAUUACAUGUUUCUUUAUUAGAUACAUAGUAAUUUGGUAUACGUAACUUUAGUUUAGAAAUAAACUUUAGUUGCAUUACCCCCCUUACUUUUUGUUUUAAAAAUUUGUCUUAAGAAUGUAAAACCUUUAAAAUAAUAUAACUUUUAACAAUGGAUCUCUAGGCUCUCACAUCGAUGAAGAACACAGUGAAAUGUGAUAAGUAAUGUGAAUUGCAGAAUUCAGUGAAUCAUCGAAUCUUUGAACGCACCUUGCACCUUUUGGUAUUCCAAAAGGUACACCUGUUUGAGUGUCAUGAAAACUAAUCAUUAUGAAAUUUUUUUAUGAAGAUUUUUUAAUGGAUGUUGAGUGUUGCUGUAAUUAGCUCACUUUAAAUAUAUAAGUUUUUUUCUUACUAAAAAUUUGGAUUGACUUAAUGUGAUAUAUUAUCUUCAUUAAGGAUUGUAUCUUUUGAUACUGCCAUAUUAACUCAUUAGUAUUGAAAUUGCUUCUAACUUGUCUAUUAAUGACAUAAUCUUUAAGACCUCAAAUCAGGUGGGACUACCCGCUGAACUUAAGCAUAUCAAUAAGCGGAGGAAAAGAAACUAACAAGGAUUCCCCUAGUAACGGCGAGUGAAGAGGGAAAAGCCC
rnacentral:rRNA from 1 species